rnacentral:rRNA from 1 species
CAGUCGCCACGGUAACACCAGCACCUCAAGUGGUCAGGAGGUUUAUUGGGCCUAAAGCAUCCGUAGCCGGUUGCAUAAGUUUUCGGUUAAAUCUAUGCGCUUAACGUAUAGGCCGCCGAAAAUACUGUGCAGCUAGGGAGUGGGAGAGGUACACGGUACUCGAUAGGAAGGGGUAAAAUCCUUUGAUCUAUUGAUGACCACCUGUGGCGAAGGCGGUGUACCAGAACACGUUCGACGGUGAGGGAUGAAAGCUGGGGGAACAAACCGGAUUAGAUACCCGCGUAGUCCCUGUCUCUUAUAC